rnacentral:lncRNA from 1 species
AUUUACCUUCUAAAAACAGAAAUUCCAACUAUGUGAUGAAGGAUUAAGAAGAAUGUAGCCAUUCUGAAGUGUGUUACUUCAAGCACUGCCAAAGUUUGGUAAUCUUUUCUCACCACUUUUAACCAAGUGAGCGAUGUUAUUGGUAGAAAGUUACACAUUCAACCCACAGUUCUCCAGUUCAUCAGCAGUAUUUCUGCUGCUUUAUAACAGUUAAAAAGACUGAACAAGGCCACAGAAACCAUCACAAUAGUAAGAAAACAGGCAUCAUAAAUUGCCUGAAACUUCUGUUUAUUUUAAUGUGAUAAACUCAACAGCAAAGUAAACAGAGUCUGGGGGAAUGUUUCAAUUAAAUGUUAGUGACCUACGUUUAAAAAAUAAGAAAAGCAAUAAAUAGAUGUUGACUGGGUGAUUUCAUGUUCAAGAGUCUACAUGUGUGGGUUUUUUUUUUGAGACUUCUAAGGUGUGACUACUUGAUAUAACAUUAUUAACGACUCACAACAGAAUCCUAAAGAGUAUGGAUGAGAGUUUGGGCACAGGGAUUUAAAUCCAUUUAUUUAAUCUUUGAAAGUUGGGUUAUUUUCCUUUGCCUAUGGUCAGUCAUAGAAAUCUCUGACAGUUUUCUUAGAUCUCUCUUAUAUGGUCAGCAUCUUGGUGAGGUAUCUGCAGACCUAGUCUAUCUGUGCAGUGACACACAAUCAAGCUGUGCAUCACAAAACAAAGAAAACAGGAGAAAAGUCAAAAGAGAAUUCUAUGCCUUUACUUGCCUGAGCUUUGCUGACAUCACAUUCAGAGAGGGACAGCAUAAGGAGACUGGACUGGAGGAAAUGGCUAUCCAGCAGAGCAAAUUUCCUCUUGGCUUAGGAUUGCCACAGAAUCUAUUCUUGCCUCUGACUAUGUUUGAGGCCUGGCUGGAGUUGGACAAGAACAGAAGUUAAUAUCCAAAGAUACUGCAGUUCUGAGCUGAUGCAUGUAUGUGAGAAAUGUCAGUAAAUUCAAGUUUGUUACCUUUCCCACAUUUGAGCAUUAAUUCUAUUCUUCCCCACCCCCCCCCAAAAAAAAAAAAUCCAAGAGAUCACAAAACUCUGAUUAAACUUCCAUAAAAUAUUUAAUUCUUCCUUGCUCUUUUUACAGAGUGGAAAAAUAUUCCAUUCUUGUAUGUAAAUAUAUGUUAUUACAGUUCUUCAUAGUUAAGAUUUAUUCCUGCUAUAGGUCAAUUGAGCUUAUGUGACUUUCACAGUUAAAGAUGAAUUUGAUCAUUUCUUAUUCUGAACUUCUCUUUUAGAUAUGUUUCUGUAAAUUAAGUCUGCUUGUUUCCUUGCAUCCUGUCAGGGAUGAUAUUGCUCAAUUCAGUUUUCUGAUGUCUUAGAGCUAUACUGGAAGACCACACGAAGAAACAGCUAAUAUCUAAAUGUCAUUUUGAGAAACAGUCUAAUAAUUAUUUUCUUCUUUAGUUUCCGUGUCUACACACCUUUAUUAUGGAUAUUCUGUAAACACAUUUGCACAAGAGAGUACUUGCAUUGGAUUGCAGAAUUUAGAGAUGAUGUCUAUAUAAAACAAUAAGGAUUGGAAGUAUCCAAGAUGUACAGUUCUUCUUCCA